AAAAUCUAAUUUGUUCCGUCUGUCAGACGAAGUCUGAAAUGAGGAUUGGUGCAAAUUCAUUAGGCCAUUGCCAUCAACGGGUAACCUGUUCUGGGAACUAAAAAAAAAAAAAAGUCCAUGGCAAUAAAUGAACAAUGGCUCUUCAGUUUAAACAGUAACAAAAGAAACGGGGAAGUUGUUUGAAUUUCAGAGCACGUCCUUCUUAACAUAGAGGGCUGGACUAGACCUUGGCCAACCCCAAAAACUUGCAGACACUCAUCUCUCUCAACAGUUCACUUUUUCUUUUGGCUUAGCAGACAAAAUAUGUUAUGCGGGAAAUCGUCUUUAAGGAUGGAAUAUAUUGCUGUCCAAACCACACCAAGGGGAGCAAGUAUAAUUAUUCCAAGGGAAGCAAAUAUAAUGAGCUGGGAAUAAUUGACAAUUUUAAGUUAAAGGGUAGAAAAAUGUGAUGGCCUAACAUUUUGGGACGUCUUCAAGGAGCUUAUUUACAACUACAUGUCGGGUGGUCGUUGGAUGCUUUGCAGACUAUGAGGACUGCAAAGAAAAAAGGAGUUGCAGCGUAUUACAGAGUACGUGUCCGCUCACAAUGUACAAUACUACUGCUUCAACAUGAUGAUGUUGGAUUUUGAACCCAGGAUGAGUGAUUCAGAAGGCAUUCAUUUAAAAGGCAAUAAUAUAUGUUUUCUCUGAAGAAGCUACUGUACAAGAAUGCAAUGAGGAAUGGACAGUCUUGGCAACACACCAGCUUUCAACCUUAAAUUAUCAAAAUGCACAAGUCAAUAAAUACAGAUCAAGCACUAUGGAACUAAUAUUGUACUCUUUAGAAAAAGCUGCAGCACUUUAAUAUAAAAGAAAACUACAAUAUUUUUAUUAGUAUAUUUUUUGUUUAAUUGCAUGGUUUUAUAAAGAGCUCCAGGGUACAAUAAAUGCUGAUAAAGUCAAAGCACAAAUUUCUUCUUGCUAAAGAAAAAUAAUUAAUGCAUGCAUCACUUGUCAUGAAAGCAAUUAAUGGUAAAUCAUUUCAAAAUUAUGUUGUCCAUUUUUGUACAUGUCUAUGAAUAAAAUAUAUGUGCAAUAUAAAGUAAUUCUGUUUGUUUUUCAUGUAAACAAGCAAUUAAAAAAUCCCUAAUGUUA